rnacentral:lncRNA from 1 species
AGUGUUAUAAUUUAGGGAUUCAAUUGAAAUUAAUCCAAAUGGCAAAUUAAAAGGAAUUUUAAAUUAAUUGAGAUCUAACUGUUAAAUUUACAAAGACCAGGGGUCAAAAUGAAAAUGUCUAUUUCUGCCGAAACAUCGUCGUUGCUGUUGGAACAGCCGAGUGGUCUUCUUCAUACCGAUUCAACUGGGAACCUGAAAAUCUGCAACAAAUCCAAUCAUGGACCAUGUCUCUUGCCCACGAUCUCGUUCAUGGAUUACAUAACAGUCCUGCAAAGGCAGGACUGUUUGAAGGGCAAGCUGUAGGAUCUCUAUAAAAGAGAAGAAAAAACCCAGAAAAGGGGACUGAAAAUCAGAGCAAAGAAUAGAGAAAAAAGCAGAGAAAAACAGAGCAUAAACCCAGAAAAAAAAAAUACACAGAGAGAAGGAGAGAAUAUGAGAGUAGCAGAUACAGAGAGGAGAAUUAUCCUUGCAAUUGUCUUAGUCCCUGCAGAAAAAGAGCAACCCGGAAUAAGUAAAAAAUUCAGAGAAAACAGACAUACCCAUUACCUUCUCAGCUCCUUCAUCUCAAGAACUGAGAAAUCAAAAGAAGGGAAGACAGCGGGCACAACGGGGAGAGAGAGGAAAGCAGUCGAACGAAAGUAGCCACCAGUGUUGCAGCCUUCUUUGCCAUCUCCAGAAACAGGUGCGCCCAUUCCCUUUCAUUUGCUGUGAUUCAAUAACAUUUGAUCAGUG